ensembl:snRNA U6 U6 spliceosomal RNA
GUGCUUGAAUCGGCAGCACAUACGCUAAAAUUGGAACGAUACGGAGAAGAUUAGCAUGGCCCUCGCGCAAGGAUGGCACGCAAAUUCGUGAAGCGUUCCAUAUUUUU